UCAGCCCAGGCCAAGGAGGAGGAUGUGACCUUUGUCCGAGGAGCUAAGGUCACAGGUUAGCAUUGGAUGACCUAAGCGGACUUCGGUAGGAUCGAGAUGAAUUUCUCAAUUGGUGACAAAGUCCGAACGAUCGCCCAUCAUGAGGCUUCUACCUAUUCCUCAGUCAAUGCCAAGAACAUGCUCGAUUGAGGCUGAGGCGGAGUGGAGAUCCAUGAUAGAUGCCCCCUACUCUCGAGCCCAAGUUCGAACGAGGUCGGUCGAAGAGAAAACAAUUCCGACACUGAGGUCAACUUUACCGAAUGUCAUCUGAAUUUUCAUUCAUUGACACAUGUCAAAGAUUGGUGUUAGUUGGUAAAAUGAUUUUCUCAUCUAGACCGUCAAACCCCUGGAUCUACGUGACUGUUGUUAUGGCCAAUCGGAUGCUGCCAAUUGGCGCUCAUCAAUGGUGGGAGGUGAAUCGUU
rnacentral:lncRNA from 1 species